CCUACGGGAGGCAGCAGUGGGGAAUAUUGCACAAUGGGGGAAACCCUGAUGCAGCGACGCCGCGUGGGUGAAGGAGCGUUUCGGUAUGUAAAGCUCUAUCGGCAGGGAAGAAGGUGGACGGACCCUGAUUAAAAAGCCCCGGCCAACUACGUGCCACCAGCGCGGGUAAUACGGAGGAGCCGAGCGUUUCCCGGAUUUAUGGGGUUUAAAGGGAGCGUAGAGGGGUUGUUAAGUCAGAUGUGAAAGUUUGGGGCACAACCGCAAAAUUGCAAUUGAUACUGGCAGCCUAGAGUGCAGUAGAGGUAGGCGGAAUUCGUGGUGUAGCGGUGAAAUGCGUAGAUAUUAGGAAGAACUCCGAUUGCGAAGGCAGCUUACUGGACUGCCACUGACGCUGAGGCUCGAAAGUGUGGGUAUCAAACAGGAUUAGAUACCCGUGUAGUC
rnacentral:rRNA from 1 species